rnacentral:tRNA from 2 species
GGGCGAUUAGCUCAGCGGUAGAGCGUUCGGUCCACAUCCGAAAGGUCGGAGGUUCGACACCUCCAUCGCCCACAA